GACGAACGCUGACGGUGUGCUUUAGACAUGCAAGUCGAACGAGAAAGCCCUUCGGGGUUAGUAAAGUGGCGAACGGGUGAGUAACACGUGGGCAAUCUGCCCCUCGCAGGGGGACAACCGGAGGAAACCCCGGCUAAUACCCCGUAAGUUCAAAGGGAGGCAUCUCCCCUUGAAGAAAGGUAGCUUCGGCCAUCCGGCGAGGGAUGAGCCCGCGGUGCAUUAGCUAGUUGGUGGGGUAACGGCCCACCAAGGCGACGAUGCAUAGCUGGUCUGAGAGGAUGAUCAGCCACACUGGGACUGAGACACGGCCCAGACUCCUACGGGA
rnacentral:rRNA from 1 species